CAAGACAACCUCGCACCAUCAUUACGGACGAGAUGCGAGCAACAGUCAUUGACCAUGUCAUUGUCCAUGGCAUGACAAUGGCUGAAGCAGGACUAAGAGUCCGUCCAAACCUGAGUAGGUUCACCGUGGCCACCAUUAUCAGGGCAUUCAGACAACACAACAGAGUUGAAAGAAUGCCACAGAGGUGGGAGGAUUGCUAUAUUUACAGCGGCACAAGAAACCCUCAUUGUGGAUAUGGUUCGUGAGAACAACCUCAUCAGACUCCAGGAGAUCAGAGACAAAGUCAUUGCCGAUAAUGUGAACUUUGAGGGCAUUGAUGAUGUCAGCUUGGCCACAAUAGACUGAGUUCUCCGGCGCCAAAAGAUGCGGAUGAAACAAGUCUAUAGGGUUCCCUUUGAGCGAAACUCUGCACGACACAAAGACCUACGUUACGAGUAUGUGCAAAGGAUAUUACAGUUGGACGCGAUGGCCAGACCUCAUGAGUACCUCUUCCUGGAUGAGGCUGGCUUCAACCUGCAGAAAC